rnacentral:siRNA from 1 species
UGAAUCAUGUUUCAUCUUGUUC